AUUUUUCUUUACCCUUUGUCUACUAGACCUCGUUGCUUCGGCUGGCGCUUGCGCUGGCCAGAGGCCUUAUAACUCUUGAAUGUUGAUGUCUGAGUCGCUAAAGAAAUUAUUUAAAACUUUCAACAACGGAUCUCUUGGUUAGACCAUCGAUGAAGAACGCAGCGAAAUGCGAUAAGUAAUGUGAAUUGCAGAAUCCAGUGAAUCAUCGAAUCUUUGAACGCACAUUGCGCUCCCUGGUAUUCCGGGGAGCAUGCCUGUUCGAGCGUCAUUACAACCCUCACGCCCCGCGUGGUCUUGGGCUGGCCCAGCAGGGCCGGCCUCAAAAGCAGUGGCGGCUCCGUGCGACCCCUAGGCGUAGUAGAACUUCAAACCGCUUCUGGUGGCCGGGCGGCAGCCUGCUAAGCACCCCCACACUUCAAAGGUUGACCUCGGAUCAGGUAGGGAUACCCGCUGAACUUAAGCAUAUCAAUAAGCGGAGGAA
rnacentral:rRNA from 1 species